AAAGUAUUCCCUCCGUCCCAAAAUUCUUGUCUUAGAUUUGUUUACGUAUGGAUGUAUUUAAUACUAAAACGUGACUUGAUACAUCCGUAUUUAGAUAAAUCUAAGACAAGAAUUUUGAGACGGAGGGAGGAGAUA
rfam:Triticum aestivum genome assembly, contig: Triticum_aestivum_CS42_TGACv1_scaffold_485532_6AS